UAUAUCAUCAUCUUGGCAGAUUUCACAAUUAUUCCUCAGAACUCAGUUGAUGGCCUUGGUUGAAGAAAUAAAUUCUCUAUAUUGAAAAUCUGUUCACGCUGUCUGAGCACCUGGUCUAGCCUGUUCAUUUUGUACUUUUAUUAAACAAUAAGAGAGAGCUUUUAUUAGCCUGCAGUGGAAGUAUAACUGCUGUGAGAACCA